AACACCCUACCCUAUCAAAUCGAUCAAAUCGAGAAAUUUGAGAGGAUACUUGAAAUCUUGUUAAGUCACACGCAUGCCCUCAUAGCAAGGCUUAAUAUCAGAGGAACCGCCGGUAAUGAUGUAUAGUGAUCUUGGUAUGCAAGUAUGAUCAGGAUCAUUUGGUGGCCUGCGCCCACUUGUUCUUUGCUUCUUAGUGAUGCUCCUGGUGUAUUCUUAUUGGAGGAAACGACACUACUUCAUAUUAUUGGGUUAUUGAAUGUCUUGAUGGCAC